ACAGGAGAGGUAUCAGAACAACCACUCCUUUUUGUUGUUAGAGGUAUGGAGAUCUGCACAUCAAUUCAGCAUUAACAAACUGAUUUUGUCUGUAACGGAGACAGCUGAGCAGAGCUGAGCGCUCUGCUUGUGGAGGUGGCAGCCUGCUGGCUUUGCUGCAACUGCUGCUGGAAACAAUGUCCAGAGGGAGGCUGACGUGACGAGGUGAGAUUGCUGCAUAUGGGUUUAGGGCUGGUAGGUGAAGCUGUCCUUGACGUCCUGGAGAGGGGUUACUUGGAGCUCAUCAGGAAGUUUUCAUGCGAUUGGCACAGCAAAACGGAAGGGAGUGGAGAAUACUGUAUGAUAUUAAAUUGAAGCGGUUAAUCGUAGUUGUUAUUAAUUACUGUGAGGGUUAUAGGAAGUGAAAGAGUGUGUCCAGGGCAUCCCUCAGUACUGCUCUCCCACACCGGAGUGCAAGAAGCUGAGUUCUUAGCACUGGCGUGCCGUUGCUUCACAGUACCAGCACAAAGGGUUGGCGGUAUGUGUCAGCCUGCACGUCUUUGAAGGUGCUGGGAAUGAUUACACAGCCAGGGAGAAGAACUUGCCAGUGAUCGCGAGAGACACCGAGCAGUCCUCUCCAGACAUUCGUUGUCGAUCCUUUGUCAUACUUGCUCAGAAUUGGACGGCUUCGGAGAUUCUUCCAGAUGAUAACGCUAUAACCGAUUUGAGGAACCUUCGCACCUUUCCAGCUUCCCCUCACGUCCCUUCGCUCUCGUUUCGGGGGAGAAGUGCCCCUCUGUACUCUCCCAGGAGAAUAGCUCCGCAGCCACGGAAGCUCCUGGGCUCUUCCUAUAGCUCCUUUUUUACUCCGUUUUCUGGGGGUGAGGGAGGCCGCCCUCAGCUGACGGGGGUCAACCUCCCGCCGCCGAAGGAGCCUCCCCGACGGCACAGAGCAGCCCCGGGCGGGCGCCGCGCUCCUCGCGUCCCCCGAGCUCUGGUUUUCUUCUUCCUGAAGCGCUGUGUACACAAAGGGCUCGCUUCUGCCUUUCAAUUAGGUGGCUGAGGAGCGCUACCGGAGGAGCCCGGGAUCCCCGAGGUGCAUCAGUCCCGAAAUAAGGGAGAGCAGCAGCAUCGCUCCCGGCCACCAAAGGUACACUCGUUUCGGUCAAUAGCAUUUUUUUCCCCCACUUCCCCUCGGUGUUUGCUAAAGGGCGCGGAGCUGCGUGCGAGUCCCACAGCCGGAGGAGAAAGGAAACGCGAAGAGCUUCUUCCAGCGGACGCUGCUCCCCUUCCCCUCCAUCCUGCGGGGUGAGGAACGGAGGGGCUCGGAGAGCGGCGGGGGGGAGGGUGGGAGGAAUCGCUAUUUUCCUUGAAGAACAAUUCAGGACAAUUAUUAUUAAUGCACGCAGCCGGCACCUGCGCGGCUCUCUGCCCGCUUCCCGAAUGGGACUUUUACUGCCCGUAAGCGGCGAACCAGGGCCGGUAAUAGGAUCAGGAAGGGAGGCGUUAGGCGGAAUGCCGCUGCGGCACUACUCGUAAAGGCGCGCUCCCGACAAACGCCUUCGGCCGAGAGGCUGUAAACGUUUUACGGGUAAUGAGAAAGGCAAGGGUUUGGCACGAAGGGGCGGGAAGGGUCGCACCACCUUUUGCUGGACGGGGCCGUGCUCGUUGCUGAAUGCUGGCGUGGGGGCUUCGGCCCGCCGAACGACCACGGAAAGCAAACCAGUAACUUUUACAGAGGAAAGUAAAAUAUUUCAAGUCAAGAACUCCUCUAGUAGCUGAAAAUUAACUUCUGACAACACGCGAGAUUUUCCCUCCCCGCCAUAUCAAAGAAACGUCUGUACGUUAAUUUCACCCUGAAAGAUUUGAGAAAUAACAGCGCCUCAGGGCAAAUUUUCAGCUUCAGAAGGACCCUUUGAGUCGAAGUAGGCGCAGAGAGUACGCCCAAAGCCGCGCAAUACAGCCUCAUUGAUUUUGCUGCGGUGUUCGCACGCCCGGGGAGUACAGAAGCGCAGAUCCCUGAGUUCUUCUGACGAGAUUUUAAUUAGGAAAUGGAAUUCCCCGCUCUGGAGCUGUGCCUUCGUGUAGAUGAGGCAUGACGGCUGGGAGCUUUGCCGAGGGGUGGGUUGGGGUCACGGUGACGAGAGGAGCGGAGCCAGGGCCGCCCCAAACGGCGGCUCUCUUCCUUCCGUCCUCCGUUCUUCUUUCCUUCCUUUUUUUUUUUUUUUCUUUCUCCCUUCGGUAUGCUGCUGAGAACCGACCCCGUGAAUUUCCCGAAGUGGGCCCCUUGGCGUUAUCACCGCUUAAUUCGAACGUUCCUUUCAAGAGUAAAGCAGCAGAGAGGCAAGGUGCUUGCCGCUAGCUCAGCCUGUGCGUUGUUGCCGUGGAUACGGUUCUAAAGCGGUUCGAUUUUAUCGAUGCAAAAGAAAACGUUGAAAACUGAGGUAAGGAUUGGAUUAGCUCCGUGUCUGCCACCGCGGUGCAGUGUGCGCUGCGCGACGCGUACGAGCGGAGCUACCGCUUGCUCAGAGCUGACCUUGAGAAAGGGAAGAGCGUGACGAGGCGGGCACCGCUCCGUCGGGCUACAGCGCAUCUGUUAUCUUUAAAUGUUUGAAUCCCUUCGUCAAGAUUAUGGCGUUAUUCCAAGUGGUAAAACGCGGCUAUUUCGCUUCUCACUGCCGCAAGAAAAUAGAAACCUCCACUUUCCCCACUCUAGAAAGCAUUUUAAACCCAAAGCAUCAGAGUGUUUUUGCUUUUUAUUUUGCUUUCCCGAUUCAAAGCUGAGACGUUACAAACGAUUACGGGUUGGAAAACCUAUCGGAAACAGUGUGGUCACGUUAUGACAAAGCGCUAAUCUGACGCUUGCAAAACGGUGACAGUUGCAACGUUGUUUUUUUUUUUUUCCUUCUCUCUCCCUUCUCCCACUUUUGUUUCCUUUCCUUUAAAGACAAAGGAUUCGAAAAACAAAAUAAAUAUUAAUAAUAAUCCCAAACGCUCCCGCGGUGACAGUUAGUCCCCCCUCCCCAGUGCAAGGAGUCAGGCCGGGCAAUUGGAAGCUCAUUUAAUUAUUUUCAUUCUAAUCGCUUUAAUCCCCCCCUCCCCCACCCCCCCCCGCCGAGAGCAAAUGACGCUAAUGGGACCCACGUGGAGAAGCCCCGGGGUGGCGGCGCGGCUCCUCCCGGCCCCGUGCCCGGGCAGGUGGAGCCGGCGGGGCGGGGCUCGCCUCGGUCAGAGGCUUUACAAUAAAUAAAAUACUGCCAUACGUUGUCGGUUGUUGUUAUUACUGAUCUUCUCUCCCACCCCCGCCGCCGCCGGCCGCUGUCUGCUCUGGGCUGGUUCCGUUUGCUGCGGAGGAGGAAUGGAAAACCUCCCCACCGAUGAAGCACGGGAUCGGUGCCGGUGAUGCGGCCUCGGAGCCGCAGGAACGCGGCAGCAGCGCUCCGCUCCGUGCCCUCGGGUGUUGGCGUCCGUGUUCGCGUACAGUACCUGCCCGCUGUUAUAAACAUCCCUCAGUACACAGCCAAUCAAUCACGCUGGCAAGCAAGCAGAUCGGGAGCCGAGAGUAUAUACAAGGCAUAAAUACAGAGACGUGAAACCCCAGUCAGCGCUGCAGUAUUUACACAUAAUUUUUCUAAGGCGCUCUCUCUAAGAGAAACCAUAUCCAGGCUAUCGGAAGUUAUGAAUUCAAGAUUAAAAAGUAGCAGAUAGUGUUAAGGAAGUAUAGUCAUUCUAAUGCUAGCGAGGGAGAUGUAAGGAAGAAAAGGAGAAAAAAAAAUGCCUGAAGCUGAAGACUUAAAAAAAAAUCCUAUUAUACUUACAGCCGGGAACACAAACUGGAGACUGUGCAGCUGAAAAACACAAAACCGGUCAUUUAAAAAUACGAUGCGAUAGAUAUAUCUGGAAAAGACAUGAGUUUACCAGAUUUUCCAGUCAGCAGAGCUUUCUUUAUGUUGCAGUCAUUUCUAGUUCUGCUUUAAUUUGAAACAUAUUUACAUCCAGGGAUAAGUCCUUGCAACUGCGCUGUGUUUUUUCAACAAUCUCUUGAUAACAAGAGGUCUGCACAGCAGGGAGUCUGUGCCUCUUGAUGUGACACUGAGGCUUUGCUGGUGGAAGGACGUGUGUGAACACGGGUGGAAUCCCUACAGUGAGGUGCGCUGCAGAUCCAGGGCAUCCCAGUAAUGCGUAGAGAAGGGUGACGUAUCAAAGCAGGGCAAAAUGAAGUUUCAGGACUUAAAAGAGAAAGGCGUAUAUUAUAUUGUGGUAAUUUAGGAGUUUCAGUGAAAUGGAGAAAUGGUUGGUGCUGCAAACUAGCAGGUUUGCUGUUCCUGUGUUGCAGGAUCCUGAACUAUGCCUUUUUCUCUGGAUAGCAGGCAGCAGGUAGGCCCUGGGAUUUGUCCUGGUGGAGGAGAAUGAUCUCAGAGGGCAGGAGCUGUGUUUCAGCAUGAGGUGUCAAGGGCAUGUGCCAAAACAGCUUAUAAAGCUGGGCACCACAGUGUUCUUGCUCAAGAGAGCCCUUGUGACCACAUCCUCUCUAUGGAGUCCAUCUCAGGCAUACUUUUUCUUGUGCAGUAAUUACAUUUGUUGUGCAUGUUUUCCAAUCAAGAAUAAAUUUGAUGCUAAACUCACUUUCACUCUACGAUUGUCAGUGUUAAAUUGUAUAAGGGGCCAAAACCAAACACUACUGAUGUCAGCAGAGUAGUUUUUGAUGAUGCCCUGCAAGCUGGCUGGGUACAGUAGGCAUAAAUAGUAUGGAAAGUUGGUUUUGUUGGCCUCCUAGACACUUAAAAUAAUGUGUUUAAAUAUACGUAUUGCCAGCACAACAGGGAUUGGAUUAUUCAUCUGCUUACAUUUAAGGUGCCCCCCAUCCUCCCCAUUAAGGACUGUGUUUAAAAUGGAUUGGAUUACUCACUUGCUUAAAUGAUAUUUCAUUUUAUAUAACCAUUUCUACUUGUCACCAUGUAAGUGAGUGCUUCAUCUAUCAGAACCUCAUCCUGCGAACUUGAUGCAUGGUUUUCUGUAGGAAUGGAUUAUGGAGUCCUUUGACAGAAACAUGUCUUGAUCUGUGGUGGAUAACACUGACACAAAAAAAAAAGGAUAGAAGCCUUAAAUGACAAUUUGCCACUGAAAUAGUACAUAAAAUAAAUAACAAUGCUUAAAAUAGUUGGUGAAGAGUCUAGAAAUAUUUAGUAACUUUGAUGUAAGUGGUAAUUUUUGUAAGCACCGUAGUCACCACAACACCAGUUUCAUGCUUUAAUCUUCUGGGGUGGUAAUUGUAAGGAGACUUCCAUCUGCUCUCAUCAGUGGAUUAAUUCAGGUUCACGUUAAGUUCACAGUCUUUUUUCACAAAAACUAUUGGCAACUGUAGGAAUGGUAUUUUAAUGCUAUGAGAACAUUGUGAAAGCUCACACUCUUUUCUGUUCUAAAGAUUCUCCAUCAUUCACUCCAGUGAUAAAUGGUUGUUGAGAAAGAUACAAACAAAGCAAGAUUUUGGAGUUAAUUCUUUAAGCUACACAUUGUGUUCUUUGAGUUUGAGAGAGAAGCAACAGUCAGUAGAUGCCAGCAUUGCAAACAAAGUGAAGAGUUUGUCUGGUGACCCAGUACAAGGUUCUUACUUCAGGAAGAACCCUCAGCUCCCUUCAGAAAGCUUGGACAACUGAAAACACGUUUAUGGCCAAGUUUGGCUUAUUUCUGUGUGCUUUCCACUAGCAAAAUUUCUCACAUACAUUUUUUUUUUUCUGGAAAUGAGGGAACAGUAUUAAAAACCUCAACCAACCAACCAAUUUGGCCUUCUCCAACCUUUGAGCAUAACCUCUGAACUCUGUGAUACGGCUACUGACAAAUCUCUUUAUGGAAGGUCUUCCAAGGACAACGUUAAUUGCCUUCCAAGGUCUUUAAGUGCCAGCCAGAGCAACCUUACAAAGACCACAUCUGUGGCUUUGUCAGCCAUGUUCUCCUGUACAGAUUACAUUUUUUUAUCAGUCUAUAAGCAGACAAACCCUCCUUGGUGAGAUCAUGUGGUACAGCUGUACCCUCAGAACUGGGGGAGAAAUCAAAAGGGCAUUUUAAUUAUUACUUAGGAAAAUUAGAUUAUGGUUUACUAAAAGUAAGAUGCCUUUUUCACUCAGACCAGUGUUCUGCUAUUGCCAGUACAGAUGAAGCUCUUCUCUUUAUUUUAGAGAUCUCCUACACAUCAUGGGCAUCAAAUUGUACUAUAUAAUUUUUGUACACAUAUUUGAAAUUUACUAUAUGUCUUCUCUCUGAGGUUAAAUGAUUUUUGACUAAAAUUACUUGUACUAAAUAACAGCCUACUUCUGGUAAGCAUAAACGUUCCAGUUUUGUUUCUCUUUGUGGACAGUAGACUACCCAAAAAGAUUUGAGGAUGCUGGUACAGAGCAAUUGAUAAUGUACGGACAUUCAUCAGCUCAGACAGUGUGCUAAGCUGUGACGUGGGUAUGUCCGGAGGUGAGGCGUUAGAGACACUCCUAAGCUCUUACUUCUUCUGAACUGUACUGACAGUCUGGCUCUACUUCUCAUUUGCUUUUAACAGUGGUGGGGUCAGAAUUUUACUAGGGUGUAUCUUGUUAAAUGCACUGUAAGGAUAAUGUAGAUAAGCCUCCUCAAGUACUGUAUUUCAGUGAUCUGUUUAGUCACUAUAGGACCCUAUAUUCUAUAUAAAAUUCUGCUUAGAUCAAGUAUGUAGCGAACAGCUUCCAGAGCAGUGUAGAGACUGUAAACCAGCAUUAGCAGAAUUGACUUGGGGAUGAAUUUGGAAUAGGGAUGAGAGUGAAUUUAUUGACAUAAGGCUGUAUGUUUGGCAACACGGGCUUCUUUUCCUAUGUAUAGAAGGAACAACUGUUUAUACUUGAAAAUAUCAACACUCACUGAGAAUACAUUUUAACUGCUGUUAUUAAGCUAGUGUUAAGAAAUUCCUGAGAACACUUUAAAAAGUAAAAAUAACAAGCUUACACAUGCUAAUCUGUGGAAGGGAAGACUGGGAUACAGAGGAAGCCUAAUUCUGGGCAGCUGUGGAGAGGAGUAGCCUUGCUGGAGUGUUGUUAGCUCUGUCAAGAGAGAAGAUGAACUGUGAGCAGGUCUGGGACCAGGUAUUCUCUAGAAACUACUCUUCAAACUUCUUUCUCAGUCUGGACAAAAGCAAAGAAAACCUAGAUUUAUCAUUUAAAGACAAUUUCUUGCUUUAGGCUCUCUGCUUCUCUAAACGUGUCUUUAAGCCCAGGCCAUAAGACUUGAUUUAUAUGAACUUAAUAUUACUACACAAUACUUAUUUAAAGAAUUCUCAAUACGUUUCAGAAUCUUCACUGUUUUAAAUGAAAUCUACUUCAUAUAGAAAGUCCAUCUACUUACUACUUAGAUCUCCAAAUUAGGCCCUUAAGUGCUGUGAUUUUCAGUAUAUAUUAUGCAGUGCAAUGUACACUGGCAACACUUAAUGCCAAGAAAAAGAAAUAAUAUAUUAAUAAAUUCAUAUUAAGAAAAGCCAAAAAGGAAGUUUUAACAAAAGCUGAUUACUAACAAUGUGACUUAUGUAUGUUAUUACAUAUCUAAAUGUUAUACAUAGGAAAAAGAUUCAAAUAUUGGUUAUCAUAUUUAUACAUAGAGAAAUCUUUUGUGUUUACUGUAAAUUUUACUGCUAUGUCAGGAAAGGAAAAAAAACCAACAAAAAUUCAGGAAUAUGUAAAACACAUUUUGCAAGUACAAAUCAGAAAUGAUACUGUCAGAGUUUAUACAGCAUGCAACGUUACCAAACAAAUUUACUGACUUUAUUUUAUUUAUUAUUUUUAAAUUUAUAAAUUUAUUCCUAUUUGGAACAGGUAAAUAGAAUUUUCAUUUAUGGGGAAAAAAUGUAGGACCUCGACUGUCACUGAGAGGUAUGCAAAGAGAGACGCACUACUCUUUGGCAGAUCUUAGCAGCAGAUCAGUGAUAUCCUGGUUUGUUUUGUCAUGCAGGUGAUUAAUGCUGCAGAAGGCAAUCAGGUGAGCCUAUUUAAAUCUUCUCCAGUAAUAAAAAUACACUUCCAUUUGAUUGUGUUACCCGUAACUGCAGUUAAUUAUUCUGUGUUCUUGAUAUGAGGAUGGGGAAACAGUAGUGAAAAUACUUUUUCUAACGUGUAUGAAAUAGCUUACAUGGAAGUCAUGUGAAGGACACCUGAGGUAAUGUGCCCAGAAGAAAUAUCUUCUCCCUGCUGUGGCAGAGUAGCACCAAGCCUCUUUCACCACCUAAACCUCUGUGAUGUCUGUUGAGUUAGUAGAUAGAACAGCUCUAUGCAGAGGUCCACAGGACUGAAUAAAAAAGGGCUGAACGUUGCUGGCAGUAAAUUAUCUGACUGCAGAAAGGUUUGUGCAGCGCAGUUGGAUUGGUGUUUACUUGGAAGGGGAAGGCUUGCUUUUGACAUUUUCAGUUUUUGUAUGUUUGAUGUUUGAGAAGAACAUAGUGCUCUAGCUAUAGUCCAGCUGAUCACAUUUCCACAGGUAAAGGGAAGAAGACAAAUCAUAAAUCAUAUAUAAAUAACUACCUAUAACUAUCUGAAGGGAGUUUGUAGUGAGCUGGGGGUCAGCCUCUUCUCUCGUGUAACCAGUGAUAGGACUAGAGGGAAUGGCUUCAAUCUGUGCCAGGGGAGGUUCAGACUGGAUGUUAGGAAAUACUACUUCUCUGCAAGAGUGGUCAGGCACUGGAAUGGGCUGCUCAGGGAGGUGGUGGAGUCACCGACACUGCAGGUUUUCAAGGAACAUUUGGACGUUGUGUUGAGGGACAUGGUUUAAUGAGAACUAUUGGUGAUGGGUGGAUGGUUGGACUGGGUGAUCCUGUGGAUCUUUUCCAACCUUGGUGAUUCUAUGUUUCUAUGAUUCUAUGAUUUUCUGCCUCUAUGUUUCAAAGGACUUGCUCUUUUUCUGAUGCAGUGAUUAUGUAUUACAGAUAUUGUGAGCAGAUUAGCUUUUGGCUGUUAGUGUACACAUAUACACAGACCUAUCUGCCUUGAGCCCCACAGUAUAUCCCUUGCAGCUCAGCAGCCUCUUGCCAUGAGCAGGGCUUGGAGAAUGAGAGCCUCAGGCUUUAACAUAGCUGAAAAUGGAACAGGUUGCAUGGAUGGUCUUUAUCCAGGAAAAAAAAAAAAAUGACAACUUAACUGAACAAGCAUUGACUUUUUUUUUUUUAUCCUUCUUAAAUAACUUCUCAGCUGCAUGGAUUAUAGGAUUUUCCAGAGGGUUAAUAACAAAGGCUAUGCCUUCUUGGAAAACUGAAGUUUACGCUGCUAUCCACUGUCAAAUGCAGCCAUUGAAAUAACGAAUGAGGUUCACUUCCUCAGAAUGUGUAAAUGUCCUGACUCAGAGUUAAGCUGUCAACAGCUGAAAGACAGUCCCAUUGACAUGUACCUGGCACUAGUUACUCAGGUUUAUUUUUUCCUGGAAAGCUGUUUUGGGCGACAGAGUGGCGUCCGGGUUUCCCAAGUUGUUGUGCUGACAAACUGCAGUGGUGGUAAAGGCAGGGAGUCUGACAAAAUCUCAUUAAUCAUUUUAAAUUAAAUCCAACAUUCCUCUCCUACACUGCCAAGAAGAAAGCUAACUUUUACAAAUGAAUACCCUCUAUGAAAGAACCGAUAUCCUGACUGUAUUGCUUUCAGACAAAUACUCACGAUUUCUGUCGUGCACAUGCACAAUAGGUAUUAUUUUUAAACUUUAAAAUAAUGAGUUUGUUGGAUGGCUAGAAAACAGAGAAGUGCUUUUUGCUCAUUUUCUGUAAUAGAUGCUGCGUGUGAACAUCUCUGAUAACUAGACUGGCUUCAUUUUUUCAAUUUAUUGUAGCUUUUUGCUUUUCAAUAACAAAUACAGAAAAAAAAAGUUACUUCUUAAUGGAAUAAAAUUGCACAGAGGGAAUGGAAGUGUUCUGUUAAAUGUUUUAUGAUCUAUUUCUUCUCAAAGCUUGCUUAGAUGAAUAAGAGAAAAAUUGCAAAUUCAUGAAGACCUCUGUCAACAAAAGCACUGAAGUGAUGAAGGAGCAAUGUGAUCUCUGCAGCCUUUUACACAUACAUUCAUUCCUAUAAGUAAUGCUAGCUAUCUGGUUAUGAUGUAAUUACGCAUAUUGUAUGUUGUCUUAUCUUAACAUCUGAUAAAUAAUAUGAGAAGAUCACAUAAAAUUUGAUCUUACUAAAAUCACAAUUACAUGUAGGUUAUAACAGAUUAUAUAUUAUUUCUCUUUAAGACAAAACGAAACCAUAAUGCACCUAUGGGAGACACAGGAAAUCCUCUAAGUCUGUCCUUUGUCCAUUUUAAUAGCGCUUUUGAGAUUAGUGAUAGAUUUUACAAUGGCAGAGAACAAGUCAUCUGCCCUAAUAUUUAUUACUUUUGAUAUUUACAUGAAAAAUGUGAAAAGAAAGAAAAACCCUUCUCUUAAAUUCUCAUUUGUGAUACAAUACAAGGCAAGCAAAUUUGACUUUUCUAAAUACUUAAUAUCAUUAUUUUAACAUGAGAAUGUUACUGCACUUCAAUCUUUGCUUAAGUACUAAAAAUAAUUUAAUACUAGUUUUGAAAAAAAAACAGAAUUAGAAAAAAUAUCAGAUUGCAUAACCUUACACAGAGAACAAAAGUACUGCCACUUCAAAAAAGAACAAUUCCUGCUGAUAAACUUGUUUAUGCAAUAAACGUUACUAAAUUCUGGUAUACUGCAGAGGAAAUAGUCACAUCUAUUUGCCCAGGUAGACAGUUCAUCUUCCUAAAUCUUUAUUUUGAAGCUGUUUUAAAUAUAUUAUUUUCCAGCAUAGAUUCCUUUCACUGGAGGGAAUAAGAGGGAGAGGUUGAAGAGAACAAAUUUAAUUUAUUUUUCCUGAAUGAGAAUUUUUUGCCCAUUUCAGAAUUGACAAAAUUGUCUCUAGCCUACAACAAUUUGGGCUCUCAUUUAUUGAACGAGCUUUGUUUUAUUUUGAGUAGCCAAAGCUGUAUAAAUCAGUUUGGAGGGUGAGUGGAAACUAUUCAAGUUUUAGAAACAUGAGAAAACAUAGAAUGUCAGAAACUGAUUAUAACUAAGCCACGUGAAUAUGUAAUAUACAUCUUAUUCUUUAAACAAAUGCAGUCUCAGAAUUUAAUACAGCCAAAAAUGAGCUGUUUAACGUGACAUUUGACAUGGACUAAGGUAUACUAGUUUCCUCUACUUGAACAAAGAACAAUUGUCCUUUUGCCACAUCCAAACUAUACUAAAGUCAGCAAAAUUUCAGAAAUUGCCAUUCAGAACACAACUUUGGAAUUCUAGGAUCAGAAGAGCUAGCAUUUGUAUGGCAAUGGGCUGCAGCCUCUUCAUUCAGAAAGAAGUUAUCCCACAGCUUCCUGAGGAACAGACACAGAGUACUGGUACAAACUGGUAAGAUGCAUGGCCAAAAUUCAAAGGACAUGCAGUAGUGGAAUCACAGAGUACCUUGGGAGUACGAUCAAGUAUGAUCAUACUCAUGUAAUCAGGUUUGGGAUCCUCUAACUAAAUCUUCCAGAAUGCUUGAUCAAGUAGCUAUUGUCACAGCACGCCAAUGAACAGACUUACUAAAACUGGGAUCAAUUAAGUAUCUAUCACUAUUUUCUUUUAAAACAUACAUGGAGAAAGUAGCAGUGCACUGAAAAAGAAACUGCCCCAAACUUCCAUUAUAGAGGACUUCUGGAGGAUGACUACGAUAACUUUAUCUUUGCCCUUGGUACAUAUGCUUAAUUCUUGCAUGCAACCUCCCAC
rnacentral:lncRNA from 1 species